AGGUGCGAUUAGACCAGCACUAAUGCACUGGAUCCCAUCAGAACUCUGCAGUUAAGCGUGCUUCGGCGAGAGUAGUACUAGGAUGGGUGACCUCCUGGGAAGUCCUCGUGUUGCACCUC
rnacentral:rRNA from 2 species